GUGUUCAUGUGCGGGGGCGUGGCCAUUCCAGCACAGUUCCCCGACCCAGCCUCGUUGAUCACCCGCACCUGACAGUCAUCUGCAAUCAGGAUCACCAGGAUAACUACCCCAGUCAUCCAGCCAUUCGUCGCCAGAUCGUCGUUUGUACUACUAACCCUUCAUCACCAUCACAACUAUACCACAACCCUGCUCUACUGCCGGAUUAACAUCUUCUUCGAAUCGUCGUGCAUGACUGUCGGUUCGCCUGCCAGCCGACCCGUCCGACCCCGGUUCGGACCCCCCCCCCCCCCGUCCGUUGGUUUCAGGAUUACCCCUAACGGACGCAACCUUAUGCACUAACCUUGAUCAACCGCGGACUAAUAAACUGUUCUACUGUU